CCUGAUCUUUGUUCUGGUGGACCAACAUUGCAUGUCUUAUUCCUCAAUAAUGAAGUUUUGUUUCUCCUAAACACAUGGUUAGGAGGUAAGAACUUCCGAUGAUUAUCAAACCACAAUUGUUUUCCACUCAUCGGCAAAGUGAAUGCUUCUGUAUUCUCCAUGCAAUGUGGACAUGCCAAUUUCCCAGUUGUACCCCACCCAGACAACAUAGCGUAGUACGCUGGAAAAUCACUGAUAGUCCAUAUCAGAGCUGCU
rnacentral:lncRNA from 1 species